rnacentral:rRNA from 1 species
UACGUAGGGGGCAAGCGUUGUCCGGAAUUAUUGGGCGUAAAGAGCUCGUAGGCGGUUCGGCAAGUCGGAUGUGAAAUCUCCACGCUUAACGUGGAGGGGCCAUUCGAAACUGCCGUGACUCGAGUCCGGUAGGGGAGUUCGGAAUUCCCGGUGUAGCGGUGAAAUGCGCAGAUAUCGGGAGGAACACCAGUGGCGAAGGCGGAACCCUGGGCCGGAACUGACGCUGAGGAGCGAAAGCGUGGGGAGCGAACAGG